rnacentral:lncRNA from 1 species
UCUGUUUCACUUAGGAUGAUUUGUAAGACUAUCAUUUGAUGUAAUCAAAUCCUAAUAGUGAAACAAUGAUGAAGAGCAGUAAUAAUAACAUCUAGGAUGAUAUUCCCUUGUGAAAUAUUCCUAGUACAUCAAUGUUCAUAGUCUUAAAUGAACAUUGAAUGCCUUCUUUGACAUAAUCCUUGUAUAUGCCUUUAUUGCUUGAUUGAUCCAUGCAAAUGUACUU